GAUGAACGCCGGCGGCGUGCCUAAUACAUGCAAGUAGAACGCUGAAGGAGGAGCUUGCUCUUCUGGAUGAGUUGCGAACGGGUGAGUAACGCGUAGGUAACCUGCCUGGUAGCGGGGGAUAACUAUUGGAAACGAUAGCUAAUACCGCAUGACAACAGUUAUUGCAUGAUAACUGUUUAAAAGGGGCAACUGCUCCACUACCAGAUGGACCUGCGUUGUAUUAGCUAGUUGGUGAGGUAACGGCCCACCAAGGCGACGAUACAUAGCCGACCUGAGAGGGUGAUCGGCCACACUGGGACUGAGACACGGCCCAGACUCCUACGGGAGGCAGCAGUAGGGAAUCUUCGGCAAUGGACGGAAGUCUGACCGAGCAACGCCGCGUGAGUGAAGAAGGUUUUCGGAUCGUAAAGCUCUGUUGUAAGAGAAGAACGAGUGUGAGAGUGGAAAGUUCACACUGUGACGGUAUCUUACCAGAAAGGGACGGCUAACUACGUG
rnacentral:rRNA from 1 species